rnacentral:tRNA from 1 species
CCUUCGAUAGCUCAGUUGGUAGAGCGGAGGACUGUAGUGGGUAACAAUGCUGUCAUCCUUAGGUCGCUGGUUCGACUCCGGCUCGAAGGA